rnacentral:rRNA from 1 species
CCUACUGGUGACAUCAUUGAGGCAUCUUGGUCAAUGGCCGUAAGGCUGAACCAGCCAAGUCGCGUGAAGUCCUCCUUCUCUCUUUUUUUUCCCCUUCUUUUCUCUUUUCCUCCAUAUAUCCACUGUUGGAUAUUUGCAUGUACCCUAUGAAUAAGCAUCGGCUAACUCCGUGCCAGCCUCCUCGGUAAUACGUAGGAUGCGAGCGUUAUCCGGAUUUAUUGGUGGUAAAGGGUGCGUAGGUUGUUUUUUAAGUCAGCGGUGAAAGUUUGUGGAUCAACCAUAACAGGUAAGGGGAAAGUGGAAGACUUGAGUGUGUUUGAGGUAGGCGGAAUGAGUGGUGUAGCGGUGAAAUGCAUAGAGAUCACGCAGAACUCCGAUUGAGAAGGCAGCUUAAUAAGCCAUAAAUGACACUGAAGCACGAAAGCGGGGGGAUAAAACAGGAGGAGAGAAAAGAGGAGUC